CGGCGGACGGGUGAGUAACGCGUGGGUAACCUACCCUGUACACACGGAUAACAUACCGAAAGGUAUGCUAAUACGGGAUAAUAUAUUUGAGAGGCAUCUCUUGAAUGUCAAAGGUGAGCCAGUACAGGAUGGACCCGCGUCUGAUUAGCUAGUUGGUAAGGUAACGGCUUACCAAGGCGACGAUCAGUAGCCGACCUGAGAGGGUGAUCGGCCACAUUGGAACUGAGACACGGUCCAA
rnacentral:rRNA from 1 species